UACAGAGGGGGCAAGCGUUAUUCGGAAUUAUUGGGCGUAAAGGGCGCGUAGGCGGCCUGGCAAGUGGAAGGUGAAAUCCCUCGGCUUAACCGAGGAACUGCCCUCCAAACUGCUUGGCUUGAGUCCGGGAGAGGUGAGUGGAAUUCCCAGUGUAGCGGUGAAAUGCGUAGAUAUUGGGAGGAACACCGGUGGCGAAGGCGGCAUCCUGGACCAAUACUGACGCUGAGGAGCGAAAGCCAGGGGAGCAAACGGG
rnacentral:rRNA from 1 species